rnacentral:rRNA from 1 species
AGAAUUGACGGGGCCUGCACAAGCGGUGGAGCAUGUGGUUAAUUCGAAGCAACGCGCAGAACCUUACCAGCCUUUGACAUCCUAGGACGACUUCUGGAGACAGAUUUCUUCCCUUCGGGGACCUAGUGACAGGUGCUGCAUGGCUGUCGUCAGCUCGUGUCGUGAGAUGUUGGGUUAAGUCCCGCAACGAGCGCAACCCUCGUCCUUAGUUGCCAUCAUUAAGUUGGGCACUUUAAGGAAACUGCCGGUGAUAAGCCGGAGGAAGUGGGGAUGACGUCAAGUCCUCAUGGCCCUUACAUCCCGGGCUACACACGUGCUACAAUGGCAGGUACAGAGGGCUGCAAAGCCGCGAGGUAGAGCGAGUCCCAGAAAACCUGUCUCAGUCCGGAUUGAAGUCUGCAACUCGACUUCAUGAAGGCGGAAUCGCUAGUAACCGCGAAUCAGCAGGUCGCGGUGAAUACGUUCCCGGGCCUU